UGGGGAAUAUUGCGCAAUGGGCGAAAGCCUGACGCAGCAACACCGCGUGAGGGGAUGACGGCCUUCGGGUUGUAAACCUCUUUCAGCUCCGACGAAGCGAAAGUGACGGUAGGAGCAGAAGAAGCACCGGCUAACUACGUGCCAGCAGCCGCGGUAAUACGUAGGGUGCAAGCGUUGUCCGGAAUUAUUGGGCGUAAAGAGCUCGUAGGCGGUCCGUUGCGUCUGCCGUGAAAACCCGGAGCUCAACUCCGGGCCUGCGGUGGAUACGGGCGGACUAGAGUCCGGUAGGGGAGACUGGGAAUUCCUGGUGUAGCGGUGGAAUGCGCAGAUAUCAGGAGGAACACCGGUGGCGAAGGCGGGUCUCUGGGCCGGAACUGACGCUGAGGAGCG
rnacentral:rRNA from 1 species